rnacentral:rRNA from 1 species
GAUGAACGCUGGCGGCGUGCCUAAUACAUGCCAGUCGAGCGAACGGACGAGAAGCUUGCUUCUCUGAUGUUAGCGGCGGACGGGUGAGUAACACGUGGGUAACCUACCUAUAAGACUGGGAUAACUUCGGGAAACCGGAGCUAAUACCGGAUGAUAUUUUGAACCGCAUGGUUCAAAAGUGAAAGACGGUCUUGCUGUCACUUAUAGAUGGAUCCGCGCUGCAUUAGCUAGUUGGUAAGGUAACGGCUUACCAAGGCAACGAUGCAUAGCCGACCUGAGAGGGUGAUCGGCCACACUGGAACUGAGACACGGUCCAGACUCCUACGGGAGGCAGCAGUAGGGAAUCUUCCGCAAUGGGCGAAAGCCUGACGGAGCAACGCCGCGUGAGUGAUGAAGGUCUUCGGAUCGUAAAACUCUGUUAUUAGGGAAGAACAUAUGUGUAAGUAACUGUGCACAUCUUGACGGUACCUAAUCAGAAAGCCACGGCUAACUACGUG